CCAGGCCCGCCCACAUCCGGCUUUUCCUUUGGCCGGGUCAGCCAUCUUUGCUGAGGGCAGCUGUGGUGUGUGUUUGAGACACGACUCAGGUGCUGUGCGGGCCACCGUCCGACUGCUCAUCACGGGGCCAUUGGCUGAGAGGGCAGUCUGGCUCCGGGCCCCACUUCCGGGCGCGGCUUGAGGGUCCCCUAUACCUCUUUUUCGCAGUGAAGUUUCUUCAGCGCCUCAGAGACUGCAUUGCUUCCUCUGCCUCGGCCCCGGCUCCCAUUCGCCUCCUCCCUAUACUGAUGGCCCAUCGGGCGUCGAGGGGCGGUCGCUGCGCUGCAGCAACUCAGUGACACGCCCGUGUCUGGUUGGGUGCGGUACGUUUUGGAAAUGAAAGCACUAGGUCUCUGACUUUCUCAACUUCCUGCCUAAUUUUACCUUUUUCCCCUUAAGUUUCUCCACUUCCCUCCCAAGCAUGGCUGUGCAGCCCCUUCUGGACUACCUUCCAAGGGGCUUCACCCUCGUACUCCUCUUUCUUCGGUCUCUCCUGUUACUUUUUAGCGUCUCCCCUCCGCAGUCCUUAACUAAAUCGUCCCGCACGGCCAAGGGUGAUAAUUGGAAGCAGGUAGGGUAAAAAGGCUAGAAUUCUGGAGUCCGUUUGCAUGACGUUCAGAUUCCAACGCAAUCCUUGAGCUAUUUACUCAACUUUAGUUUUCUUGUCUAUAAAAAGUUAAUUGUAACAUCUACUUCCUUACCCCGACGCCAGGCAGAUUUUACGGUGAAGCAAAUGAGCUUUAAAUUAAACUUGCCCAGAACUCUGAGAUUGUAGUAUUCUAGGUGGGGAGGUUGAAACCAGGAAGAAUUUCUUAUAAGUGAAAAGAUCUCUUAAUUUUGUUAUUUAUCUUUUCAUUUCUUAAUAAAUAUUCAUCAUCGUGCUUCA